ACCUUUCUAGUGCUCUAGAUAAAGAUCUUUUUGAUUGGAGCGAAUCUUCUGUGGAUUGCCAGUCCGCUCCUUUUUACUUACCCUAGCUGUAUGCUUCCCAAACGGACUUCUGAGACAGGUCUCCACUCUGUACCGUAAACUGGUUUGCAGUCCCAGCCACUUUGACAGGAGAGAGGCAUUACAGUAUCAUUAAGUGAAAGUGAGCGAAUCCAACUGCUGACCAGCAUGAAGAAUCAUCUCUAAUGCACACCCUUUUUUGGAAUCAAAGCACAAGACUGUCCACCCAAAUUAGAAAGUGUGAAACCAAGCAUCUUCCCCACAUCAGCUCUCUGAAACUCCUUCAGAAUUCCAAAGCCUUCAACCAUGUCAGCGACAGCCGUCUGCCCUCCAGAGAAGCCAGCACCAGCCUGCUCAGUGGACAUUGCUGAACAAAAAGAUGGCUGCUACAGGUCACAUGAUUCACAAGUUGGCUACAGAUUCUGGAAAUUUCCAACAGCAGUUACAGAGUAAAAGCUCAAUCUUCAUCCUUGUGAGGAUACAUCACAAUCAAUAAAACCUGGGACCAGCAGAGGAUCUGCCUCCCCAGCCUAGUCCUAUGACAAAGGGAGAGCCAUCAAAACUCUUACACCUGCAGACGUGCUAAAAGCCAUCAACUAUGUUGUAAGGCGAACAAUGGAUAAUUUUGACUAGAAGCUCCUGGCCUUUGGAAAAUUUUAAUAUUACAUUUCUAGUCUCACAACUCAGUCUGCUGUUUAAACUCCAGCCUGCAAACAUCACUGUAGGACUCCAGGCGGACCAAAAGUCUGCAUCAACUCGAAGCCUCCUCAGAGCCCGUUUCUCUAGAAGAUUCCUGCCAUCCCCUGGCAAGUAUACCAACCUCAUCUCACUGCGUCACUAUCAACUUCAAAGAAAUUCUGCAAAUCCUGCUUUAGCUAGCUGAAACCACCUGAACGAUAGCUUCCCCGUGAAGGAGCAUUCACUGGACUCUGACUUUCUGAACUCUGGCAAUUGCGUGAACUGAUAGCCACAUCUGUGGUGCUUCUUUCUUUUAAAUUAUUCUUAGUUGUAAA